rnacentral:tRNA from 1 species
GCCCGGAUAGCUCAGUCGGUAGAGCAUGAGACUCUUAAUCUCAGGAUCGUGGGUUUGAGCCCCACAUUGGGCG